GAGUUUGAUUAUGGCUCAGGAUGAACGCUGGCGGCGUGCCUAACACAUGCAAGUCGAACGAAGCAUAUAGAAGGAAGUUUUCGGAUGGAAUUUUAUAUGACUUAGUGGCGGACGGGUGAGUAACGCGUGGAUAAUCUGCCUUACACAGCGGGAUAACAAGUGGAAACAGUUGCUAAUACCGCAUAAGCACACAGUAUCGCAUGAUACAGGGUGAAAAGAUUUAUCGGUGUAAGAUGAGUCCGCGUCCCAUUAGCUAGUUGGUGAGGUAAAAGCUUACCAAGGCGACGAUGGGUAGCCGGCCUGAGAGGGUGAACGGCCACAUUGGGACUGAGACACGGCCCAGACUCCUACGGGAGGCAGCAGUGGGGGAUAUUGCACAAUGGGCGAAAGCCUGAUGCAGCGACGCCGCGUGAAGGAUGAAGUAUUUCGGUAUGUAAACUUCUAUCAGCAGGGAAGAAAAUGACCGNACCUNCUAAGC
rnacentral:rRNA from 1 species